rnacentral:ncRNA from 1 species
AAGGCGUCCCCGAAAAGCCUGUAACAGAGUAGGGA